CCUGUCACAUACAGGUCGGGAUGUGAACCGCCGAGGACGUCCCCGUGCGGUUUGAACCACGCA
rnacentral:ncRNA from 1 species